AGUUUGGACUAUCAUAGACUUUUUAAAAUACGUUAAGUUAUUCCUUGCACAUAAUUAUGUAGAUUAGUUCAGUCUUCAUUAGUACGCUGGACAGGUGUUUGUUUCCAUUUAUUAUUUUCUUGUUAUGUAUUAGUGGGCUCGCACUUUCCAGAAGAAAAAAAUUUCUAAGAAAGGUAAGGACGAUAAGUAUGGAAAAUGCAAUUUAAAUUACGCUUAAAUAAGG